rnacentral:rRNA from 1 species
UACGGGGGGGGCAAGCGUUUUCGGAAUUACUGGGCGUAAAGGGCUCGUAGGCGGCCAACUAAGUCAGACGUGAAAUCCCUCGGCUUAACCGGGGAACUGCGUCUGAUACUGGAUGGCUUGAGGUUGGGAGAGGGAUGCGGAAUUCCAGGUGUAGCGGUGAAAUGCGUAGAUAUCUGGAGGAACACCGGUGGCGAAGGCGGCAUCCUGGACCAAUUCUGACGCUGAGGAGCGAAAGCCAGGGGAGCAAACGGG